AGUGUAGCUCAGUUGGAAGAGCAGCGGUCUCCAAAACCGCCGGUCGGGGGUUCGAGUCCUCCCACU
rnacentral:tRNA from 1 species